rnacentral:pre_miRNA from 1 species
CAACUACUCCCUCUGUUCCAAAUUUCUUGUCUUAGAUUUGUCUAGAUACGGAUGUAUCUAAUACUAAAAUGUGACUUGAUACAUCCGUAUCAAGACAAAUCUAAGACAAGAAUUUUGAGACGGAGGGAGUACUUU